UACAGAGGUCUCAAGCGUUGUUCGGAUUCAUUGGGCGUAAAGGGUGUGUAGGUGGCGCGGUAAGUCGGGUGUGAAAUUUCGGAGCUUAACUCCGAAACUGCAUUCGAUACUGCCGUGCUUGAGGACUGGAGAGGAGACUGGAAUUUACGGUGUAGCAGUGAAAUGCGUAGAUAUCGUAAGGAAGACCAGUGGCGAAGGCGGGUCUCUGGACAGUUCCUGACACUGAGGCACGAAGGCCAGGGGAGCAAACGGG
rnacentral:rRNA from 1 species